GCAGCCAUGCCGCGUGUAUGAAGAAGGCCUUCGGGUUGUAAAGUACUUUCAGUAGGGAGGAAGGCAGUGUCGUUAAUAGCGGCAUUGUUUGACGUUACCUACAGAAGAAGCACCGGCUAACUCCGUGCCAGCAGCCGCGGUAAUACGGAGGGUGCGAGCGUUAAUCGGAAUUACUGGGCGUAAAGCGCAUGCAGGCGGUCUGUUAAGCAAGAUGUGAAAGCCCGGGGCUCAACCUCGGAACAGCAUUUUGAACUGGCAGACUAGAGUCUUGUAGAGGGGGGUAGAAUUUCAGGUGUAGCGGUGAAAUGCGUAGAGAUCUGAAGGAAUACCGGUGGCGAAGGCGGCCCCCUGGACAAAGACUGACGCUCAGAUGCGAAAGCGUGGGGAGCAAACAGGAUUAGAUACCCUGGUAGUCCACGCCGUAAACGAUGUCUACUUGGAGGUUGUGGCCUUGAGCCGUGGCUUUCGGAGCUAACGCGUUAAGUAGACCGCCUGGGGAGUACGGUCGCAAGAUUAAAACUCAAAUGAAUUGACGGGGGCCCGCACAAGCGGUGGAGCAUGUGGUUUAAUUCGAUGCAACGCGAAGAACCUUACCUACUCUUGACAUCCAGAGAACUUCCAGAGA
rnacentral:rRNA from 1 species